rnacentral:rRNA from 1 species
UACGUAGGGUGCGAGCGUUGUCCGGAAUUAUUGGGCGUAAAGAGCUUGUAGGCGGUCUGUCGCGUCUGCUGUGAAAAUCCGGGGCUCAACCCCGGACUUGCAGUGGGUACGGGCAGACUAGAGUGUGGUAGGGGAGACUGGAAUUCCUGGUGUAGCGGUGAAAUGCGCAGAUAUCAGGAGGAACACCGGUGGCGAAGGCGGGUCUCUGGGCCGAUAAUGACGCUGAGGAGCGAAAGCGUGGGGAGCGAACAGG